CCUACGGGAGGCAGCAGUCGGGCCUCUUCCCCCCUUUGCUCCCGCCUGCUGGAGCAACGCCGCGUGGGUGAAGAAGGUCUUCGGAUCGUAAAACCCUGUUGUUAGAGAAGAAAGUGCGUGAGAGUAACUGUUCACGUUUCGACGGUAUCUAACCAGAAAGCCACGGCUAACUACGUGCCAGCAGCCGCGGUAAUACGUAGGUGGCAAGCGUUAUCCGGAUUUAUUGGGCGUAAAGGGAACGCAGGCGGUCUUUUAAGUCUGAUGUGAAAGCCUUCGGGUUAACCGGAGUAGUGAAUUGGAAACUG
rnacentral:rRNA from 1 species